rnacentral:rRNA from 1 species
AUGAUACGCGAGGAACCUUACCUGGGCUCGAACGUAAGAUGACUGUAGGUGAAAGCUUACAUCUCUUCGGAGCAUUUUACGAGGUGCUGCAUGGUUGUCGUCAGCUCGUGCCGUGAGGUGUCGGGUUAAGUCCCAUAACGAGCGCAACCCCUACCUUUAGUUGCCAUCAGGUUAAGCUGGGGACUCUAAGGAACUGCCUACGCAAGUAGUGAGGAAGCGGGGAUGACGUCAAAUCAGCACGGCCCUUACGUCCAGGGCUACACACGUGCUACAAUGGCCGAUACAGAGGGCAGCUACCUGGUGACAGGAUGCAAAUCUCCAAAGUCGGUCUCAGUUCGGAUCGGAGUCUGCAACCCGACUCCGUGAAGUUGGAUUCGCUAGUAAUCGCGCAUCAGCCAUGGCGCGGUGAAUACGUUCCCGGGCCUU